CUUCCCUUACUUUCUGUAUUUACAGAAUUCCGUGAAUGAGUCCGUCUGCAGUACUAGUGAAACACAAGCGUCAGUAGGGGAAUCCCUACGUUCUGACCUGUCUUGGGUAGCCGUUGACGAGGGUUCAACCGCCGACUGUCAGAGGACGCUCUGGGUACCUGACCAUGCCGUUAACAAAUGUACGGGAUGCAGUACGGAAUUUUGGCUGGGAAGGAGAAGGCAUCAUUGCAGAUUAGAAUGUGAAGUAUUUGCAAAAAAAAUACAUCCUAAAUUUGAUUUUCCGCAGUUGAAGUAUUAGAUUUCAUGAAAAAAUCUUCCGCUAGUCCUGCAAGUAUGUAUAUAUUGAAAUGUCAUUUCUUAAUGAUCAAAAUAAAAUUUCUUGUACAUGAUA